AUUGAACGCUGUCGGCUGGCCUAACACGUGCAACUCGAGCGGAGCGGCGGACGGGUGAGUAAUGCCUAGGAAUCUGCCUGGUAGUGGGGGAUAACGUCCGGAAACGGGCCCUAAUACCGCAUACUACCAGAUGAGCCUAGGUCGGAUUAGCUAGUUGGUGGGGUAAAGGCCUACCAAGGCGACGAUCCGUAACUGGUCUGAGAGGACGAUCAGGCAGACUGCACCUGAGACACGGUCCAGCUGCCCACGGGAGGCAGCAGUGCGGAAUAUUGCCCAAGGGGCGAAAGACGAAUGCAGCCGUGACGCGUGUAUGAAGAGGGCCUUCGGGUGGUAAAGUACUUUCAGCGGAGAGGCGUUACCCGCAGAAGAAGCACCGGCUAUCUCAGUGACAGCAGCCGCGGUAAUAC
rnacentral:rRNA from 1 species